UAGGGUUGUAGAAAGAGCUGGCGCACCCGGCAGGACUCGAACCUGCAACCCCUUGGUUCGAAGCCAAGUAUUCUAUCCA
rnacentral:tRNA from 1 species